rnacentral:ncRNA from 1 species
AGGAGCUGUAUGAGAUGAAAAUCUCAAGUAUGGUUCUUUAAAGUGAUAGUAAAGGUGACUUAUCAGUCAACUUUUUUACUAUCAC